rnacentral:tRNA from 1 species
GGAGGAGUCCGAUAGCGGCCCAUUCGGGCGGUUUGCUAAACCGCUGAGACGAAAGUCUCACGUGGGUUCAAAUCCCACCUCCUCCG